UUACAGGGGUGUAUGCCAGAAUCUUUUGAAGAACAGUCUGAAUCUAACAUGGAAAAUGAGGAAGAACAGCCUUCCAGCUUACAAAUCUAUAUUUUGACAAAGGGGGUAUAUGCCAGAAUCUUUUGAAGAAUAGUCAGAAUCUAACAUGGAAAAAUGCGGAAAAACAGCCUUCCUGCUAAUCUAUACUCUGACAAAGGAUUGAAUCUGUGUUAAAACUUGUCCAAUAUAUAAAGACAAUGGGUGAAAAAGUACAGCUUUGUUCACAGGAACUUAAUACAUCAUCAUAAGGUAAUUUCUUUUAUUGAAAAGGGGGAUUACACAGCAUCUUUCAGAUCAUUUUCCUAAGAUGGGUGAAAUCAACAGUCAAAUACUGACACUUUAAAGAAAAGCAAAAGACAUCUCAGUGCACAUAUAAGUUGUGUUUAAAGAAAACAACAACCACUGUACCCUCAACACCCGGCCUUCACAUAGCAGAACGACACUUAGAGAUGCUUUACUUGGUGCCUGUCUGUCCGUCUGUCACACUUUACAUCUCCAGAACUGUAAGAGGUAAGAGAGAAAUUCAGUUCUAAAAUUGCCCUAGGAGUUCUUGGAUUGCAUCAUACUGCUUACAGGCCUUGACAAAAAACAGUGUCUUGAAAAAAAAACUGAAAAUAUUCAGUGAAAAAAUUGAUGAGAGAAAGAUCCACUAGAAAUUUUGAAGCCUUUGAGCUGAAAUCUGGACUUAACUGGUAUGUCUUACGAAGUCAUCAGUUGUGUAUAAUAAAUACAAUAAACACUUUAGUACAAUCUUUAGAUAUAAUUUGUAGCUCGCAUACUUCAAUUAUUUCAUGAAAUUUAAGUAAGAAUGAUAAUUUCCUGCUGUCUAGCUAGAUUAAAAACUGUUAUAGUCCAAAUUUGAUAUUGUGAAAUAAUUCAUUUAGAAAAUCGGAUAUGCAUACAUGUGUGUAUACUUGCAUGUAAAUUAAUUGUUAAAGCAAGUUCAAUUUAUCAUUAAGUUGAAAGUUGACUAAUUUUAGUGCAUCUUUUAUGUAAAAGUAUGGAUGAAAACCAUUUGAUUUUUGUACCUUUGAAUGUAUUAAUCAAUUUGUAAAAGCUCUUUUGAUACACUGUUUGAUAUUUUAUAAAAGUUUUUAGCACAUGCAAUCAGUAAAUGUGUCACAAUUUUGAUUUGAUUACUAUUCUGUUUUUAAGAAGUAAAAAAGUGUAAAGUUCCAUGUAGCUUAUACUAGUUUAGUGGCACAUGGUACUGGUAUAUCGUGUAUAUUGAACUGUCAAUGAAAUAAAAGUCUAAAUAGUCAAAACACAGGAUUAGGUAGGGAAUGCACUAUCUUGUAUGGUAAUAAAUGUUAAACUACUACUUUUUUUUUAUUAACAAAGGGUAUGCUUGAGUGACUGUAUUUUAAUAAGCAGUGAAAAUAAAAUAAUUUUUAAGCAUUUGAA